AGCAAAAACAAAAAAAAAAAGAGGGAAAACCGGGUCAACAACAGGAACAACAUGAGCAACAAUUUUGAAACAAUGAAAUGACGACAACGACAGAAGCGGCAAGGCAUGCCUGGAAAAUUGCUCGAAAUGCUCAGAAGCCAGAGGGGAAAAUGGUGGAUGGCAGGCGGUCGGAAAAGUGGGUGUACGCCCGGCCAGGGGAAGGCAUUCCAACAUGUGACGCACGUGACAAAACUUGUCAAGUGACUUCACUUCACUUUGACUCCGAAUCCCGGCUCUGUUGUCCGUAAACAAGAAGACGGAAUCCCGGCUGAGAAGAAAAAUAGGUUUGUGUGCAUCGUCCCCUCAGAAAAUGCUUAAGAAAACUCUGAUCUCGGUAAAACAAUAAAGGAAAGGCAGAGAGGAAAAAUCAGUCGUGGGCUAUUCCAACUUGUUGCGCCUUUGGCUGAAUUAUGACAUCGCGAGUUCGAGGUAACAAGAAGACCUUGGAGACGCACUGAAGUAUUUUAGGAGGAGCAGUGAAGUGGAAUGCUAUUGGACACACAGAAAGUCAUGAAGAAAAAAUAAUAUAAAAUAGCUUAAAAUCUAAAAAAAACAAUAUACCCAUAACAAUCAUGAGCACUUAAUGAUGAAAUGCCGCACUAGUAGGCUAUGAAAAUCCAACUAAGAAGGCCUUGAAAUCAAAGUUAAAAUGGUAGAACUUGCUUUGCCGACACAGGGGUUGAGCCUUAUUCUCGUUUGGCUUCUCUAACAGCAAACAUCUUUUCGGACGACUAUCAAAUUUCUUGGACUAAAAAUCCUACUUCCGUAAACAGGCUAAUAAGCGAAAUGUGCAACCCCGGAAUGUGUUCGAUGCCCGGCACCUGCUGUGGACCGACGGGCGGCCUGGGACCCUGUAUGCUGUGCGGCCCCUACAAUGGCCAGUGGUUCCGGUCGAUCAACCACUGCUGCGGUCCCUGCGGACCCUACGGCUGCUGCUCGUGCUACGGGCCCUACGGCGGACAUUGUUAGCCUGCUUAGAAGGAAAGUAGGAUUUGCUCAUCCACACCACUGAAAAAGGAACUCUAAACAGUGCAGCAAUUAUGCCUCAUCGAUAAGGAUGUGCCAUCUGAAGAAGCAUGCCAGCCUAGUGGAUCCAAAAAUUUGUGUUUGACGAAAAUUGUUGGGAUAUAUCUCUUGGAUAUCUAGCCAGGGGGCUCCCAGUUUAAUCCUACAGCAAUAGAUGUUAAUAAAUUUUGCGUACUAUUAAA